GAUCUCUACAUAGAGAAGGUGAUGACAGAGAUCGGAGGGACUAGGACCUUUUCCCGAAGCCUGUUGAUAAAAACUGGCAAUUGACCAUGUCUCCAUGAAGAGGGGCCAAGGGGGCCACUCACAGAUAGGAAGAUUCAGCACAGCCAAGGAGAGUGCUGGUUCAAUGAGAGGGAUGAAGCAACAGGAAAGGAUGGAGAUGCACCCCAGACACACAUGUGUUUUGCUGCCUGAGCUGGAUCAGAAAAUCUCCCCACCCCCACUAUAUUCUUGCAUAGUGACCAAGACUGGUGAAGUUAUUGUACUACUUGAUAUGGAAAACACCUUAAGCAAAUAAUAGCUAUAUCUGGUGGGGGAGCAAGUGGUUCUUAAUCCUUCCACUCAUCUGCUGAUACUUUCCGGUAAAUCUCUUUCACUUGCUGUUUUCCCCAAAUGGGCUUGCUUGUGUUUUCAUAGCCACCUGGGGAAUAUUGGCCUCUCAUCUGACAAACCAUCCCCACAUUCACAUUAUCUCAGUAGAGAUGCAUUCGAAAAUGUGUGUUUGCUGUAAAAACAUGCAUCUCUCACUUUAGCAUCAGCUUUUUUUUCUUUUCUUUUUGGUCUUGUUUGAAUUUGGAGGAUAUAUAUAUACUUAACUGCCACCAAUUGGGAUUUGUCUAGUCAGCAAGGUUUAGAAAUAGAUCUGUCUGCAGUAAAUAAAGCUAAAAUUUGAAGCUCA
rnacentral:lncRNA from 1 species